UUACUUUUGGUUAAGCUGAAUAUGAAUUAAAGGAUGGUGUUAGAAUGAAUUCAUAUUUUCAUAAACUUGUAGACAAUAUUUGUUAGAGGGUAUUUUAGUAUUUCUUCUAAAGUUCCACUUGUUUAAGCAAGUGAGUGGUGAACAAAUAGUAUCUUUUCUUCCUUUUGGAGUCUGUACAGUGUGUGUGCACUCAUUUCUUACCGAUUUUACAAAGUAGUGGAAAUUUCUUAUUAUUCUCUCUUCUCU
rnacentral:lncRNA from 1 species